GACUCACUCAACCUGGGUGUGAUGCUUGCCUAUUUACCAGGCCCUAGUGGUCAUCACAACCUUUUUGAGUGAGCGA
rnacentral:pre_miRNA from 5 species